UGGCCCAGAUCGUUUACCGUGAAAAAAUUAGAGUGUUCAAAGCAGGCAGAUCCAAUUUUCUGCCACCGAAUACAUUAGCAUGGGAUAAUGGAAUAGGACCCUGUCCUCCUAUUUUCAGUUGGUUUUGGCAGCGCGAGGACUAGGGUAAUGAUUAAUAGGGAUAGUUGGGGGCAUUAAUAUUUAAUUGUCAGAGGUGAAAUUCUUGGAUUUAUGAAAGAUUAACUUCUGCGAAAGCAUCUGCCAAGGAUGUUUUCAUUAAUCAAGAACGAAAGUUAGGGGAUCGAAGACGAUCAGAUACCGUCGUAGUCUUAACCAUAAACGAUGCCGACCAGCGAUUAGGAGACGUUGAAUACAAAACACCACCAUCGGCGCGGUCGUCCUUGGCGUCUCGGUUUCGGCCGGGGCGCGGGGAUGGCUUAGCCCGGUGGCACCGGUGAAUGACUCCCUAGCAGCUUGUGAGA
rnacentral:rRNA from 1 species